rnacentral:tRNA from 1 species
AGACCUCGUCGACGCCGAGGUACGUCGCCACUUUGUAGCGGUGGCGGCGGUAGGGAGUACGGCCGGCGAUCCAGCGUUCGACGCUCUUCGGGUCAAC